GACGAACGCUGGCGGCGUGCUUAACACAUGCAAGUCGAACGAUGAAGCCUUAGCUUGCUUUGGUGGAUUAGUGGCGAACGGGUGAGUAACACGUGAGCAACGUGCCCAGGACUCUGGAAUAACCGCGGGAAACCGUGGCUAAUACCGGAUAGGUGCCGAGGCCGCAUGGUCUUCGGUUGGAAAGUUUUUGCGGUUCUGGAUCGGCUCACGGCCUAUCAGCUUGUUGGUGGGGUAAUGGCCUACCAAGGCGACGACGGGUAGCCGGCCUGAGAGGGUGACUGGCCACACUGGGACUGAGACACGGCCCAGACUCCUACGGGAGGCAGCAGUGGGGAAUAUUGCACAAUGGGCGCAAGCCUGAUGCAGCAACGCCGCGUGGGGGAUGACGGCCUUCGGGUUGUAAACCUCUUUUAGUAGGGAAGAAGCGCAAGUGACGGUACCUGCAGAAAAAGCACCGGCUAACUACGUG
rnacentral:rRNA from 1 species